UGGGGAAUAUUGGGCAAUGGAGGCAACUCUGACCCAGCAACGCCGCGUGAAUGAUGAAGGUCUUCGGAUUGUAAAGUUCUGUGAUGGGGGAUGAACACAAUGACGGUACCCCAAUAGCAAGCCACGGCUAACUACGUGCCAGCAGCCGCGGUAAUACGUAGGUGGCAAGCGUUAUCCGGAAUGACUGGGCGUAAAGGGUGCGUAGGUGGUUUAGUAAGUUGGCGGUGUAAUUCCGGGGCUUAACCUCGGCGCUACCGCCAAAACUAUUAGACUAGAGUGCAGGAGGGGUAAGUGGAAUUCCUAGUGUAGCGGUGGAAUGCGUAGAUAUUAGGAGGAACAUCAGGGGCGAAGGCGACUUACUGGACUGUAACUGACACUGAGGCACGAAAGCGUGGGGAGCAAACAGG
rnacentral:rRNA from 1 species